rnacentral:tRNA from 1 species
AAGACCUAAAAGUUUACUUUUAAUUAUAACUUUGAAGGUUAUUAGUUUAUUUAACUUAAGGUCUUA